GAUGAUAGAACAACCGGUUGUAAUCUGGGUCUAACAGACUCCGUAUGGAAAUGAUUUUCGUCGUGUUACGUCGAUUUUCCCACGGUUUGCACGUUUUAAAUACGUUUUUCAGAAAAGUAAUACAAAUGUGUUUAAAACAUCUGAAAACUUUACUAUAUAGAAGUACAUAGAAAAUAAGGGCAAAAAGUGCAAAAAUUAAGGCAAAAUAAAUGAAAAAGAGAAAGAGAAAACAGACAAAUGAAUAGAGAAUAAUGAGUUUAAAUAAAUCAUAUUGAAUAGAAGAUGGAAAA
rnacentral:lncRNA from 1 species